rnacentral:piRNA from 1 species
UUUGCCACAGAGGUAAGGAAGGGCAC